UUUAGGAGAAAUCACAGGUACAAUGUCACCAUGUGACAAGGUAGCAGAGUUGCAGACCCAUUCUCUCCCCUCUCAGCUUGGACUUCUGGGGAUGCACUACUCCUGCUGGAAGAGCCUGUCUAGACGGCUGUUGGGUGUGAUGCUCUUUGCUUCUGGGAUGCCUCCACCAUCCAUCCAACUACUACAAGCUGCACAGCUAAGCCACAGAACAACUUCCAAGCUUAUCCUGACAUUUCCAAUUCACAUUCAUGAUGGCAAGGGGUUGCUUACUAAUCUGGAAAGAAGACAGAAGAAUUAUAUAAAGCAAACAAACAAACAAACAAAACUGUAGAAUACUCAUCUUUGGAUGGGACAGCUAUAUAAAAGGUGAGUGACUAUAAGGGUACAGUGUUUUCUGGCCAAAACAGGUCAGCUGCAUAUGUAAAUUUAUGAGCAUGAAGUCCCACCCUUAGCUAAGGACCUCUUGGCAAUUGAUAGCUGCUAGAAGAGGCAACUUUCCGUCCCUUUGAGAGAGAUACACCUGGUAGGUGGACCACACUCCAGAAAAUAACCCUACUUGGGAAAGCAUAAAGAUAGCACAAAUUGUGCUUAGUGAAUUAUAAUAUAAA
rnacentral:lncRNA from 1 species